rnacentral:rRNA from 1 species
AUUGAACGCUGGCGGCAGGCCUAACACAUGCAAGUCGAACGAGUGGCGGAAGGGUGAGUAAUGUCUGGGAAACUGCCUGAUGGAGGGGGAUAACUACUGGAAACGGUAGCUAAUACCGCAUACCAUCGGAUGUGCCCAGAUGGGAUUAGCAAGGAGGUGGGGUAAAGGCGCACCUAGGCGACGAUCCCUAGCAGGUCUGAGAGGAUGACCCGCCACACUGGAACUGAGACACGCUCCAUACUCCUACGGGUGGCAGCAGUGGGGAGUAUUGCACAAUGGGCGCAAGCCUGAUGCAGCCAUGCCGAUUGUAUGUAGAAGGCCUUCGGGUUGUAAAGUACUUUCAGCGGGGAGGCUUUUCCCGCAGAAUAAGCACCAACUAACUCCGUGCCAGCAGCCGCGGUAAUAC